UGGGGAAUUUUGCACAAUGGGGGAAACCCUGAUGCAGCGACGCCGCGUGAUUUAGAAGGCCUUCGGGUUGUAAAAAUCUUUUCUAUGGGAAGAAAAUGACAGUACCAUAGGAAUAAGGACCGGCUAAUUACGUGCCAGCAGCCGCGGUAAUACGUAAGGUCCGAGCGUUGUCCGGAAUCAUUGGGCGUAAAGGGUACGUAGGCGGGUAAGCAAGUUAGAAGUGAAAUCCUAUAGCUCAACUAUAGUAAGCUUUUAAAACUGCUCAUCUUGAGGUAUGGAAGGGAAAGUGGAAUUCCGAGUGUAGCGGUGAAAUGCGCAGAUAUUAGGAGGAAUACCGGUGGCGAAGGCGACUUUCUGGCCAUAACCUGACGCUGAGGUACGAAAGCGUGGGUAGCAAACAGG
rnacentral:rRNA from 1 species